UACGUAGGGGGCAAGCGUUGUCCGGAAUCAUUGGGCGUAAAGAGCGUGUAGGCGGCCCGGUAAGUCCGCUGUGAAAGUCCAGGGCUCAACCCUGGGAUGCCGGUGGAUACUGUCGGGCUCGAGUCCGGAAGAGGAGUGUGGAAUUCCCUGGUGUAGCGGUGAAAUGCGCAGAUAUCAGGAAGAACACCAAUGGCGAAGGCAGCUCUCUGGGACGGUACUGACGCUGAGACGCGAAAGCGUGGGGAGCGAACAGG
rnacentral:rRNA from 1 species